UUAUGUUCAUUAUGAAAUUUGAUGAAAUGCUAGGUUAAAAUUGAACGAGGCCAAAAUAAAAUCUUGUAAAAGGAUUCGUCCAACUUUUCGCGGUCAAUUGCGAGGAAUUAGGGUGAACGAGUGGUGAUAUAGAUAUAUGAGAGGAAAUUUGAGCGGAUUAGAGGAAAUUAGGGGAUCAAGAAGGAGAGAGGAAAUUAUAUAGGCAUGGUGAAGGAUCUCGUGAUCAAUGCGAGUACAAAAGACGAGAUAUUCGGGGAAUAUUAAAUUUGCCUGCUAUCUCUGUUCAGUAAAAUAAAUCUAAUAAUAUAGAGAAUGAAGCAUAUCAGGAUUAAAUAAAUUUCUAUUAAAUAAAUUUAUUAUUUCA